rnacentral:lncRNA from 1 species
UGGACCCUCAUGUCAAAGCAGUUUGCAGGGAGAAAGGAAGAGAAGGGGAAGCAUAAUAUCCACCGAGCAGGCAGCGGGAGAUGCAAAAAGCAGACAGAGACUGAAAGAGAAAUGAGAGGGAGACGGUGAGGAAAGAGAGCAAGGGAGAGGCUGAGAGGGAUGGAGCAGGGCAGCCAGAAAACAGAGUGAGAGCAGGAUGAGAUGAAGACAAGGGAGGAGGAAGGAGAGAGAGGCGACCUGAGAAAGACCCAGGAAAGAGCCCACCCACUCCUUGGACUGCUGCAGGCACCAGGAGAUGACAGAUGUCAGUCUUUGGAGUUUGGCUGAUGGAGGGAAUGCCAGUAUGUUCCUGAGAAACGGCUGGAAAUCCAAGAUCAAGGUACUAGAAGAUUCAGUGAUGCUGAGGACCCAUUUCCCCAUAGACGGUGACUUCUCACUGUGUCCUCACACAGUGGAAAAGGCAAGAGGUCUCCCUCGUGUUUCUUUUAUAAGGGCACCGAUCUUUUUACAAG